UAGAAGUUGACGGGGGCCCGCACAAGCAGUGGAGCAUGUGGUUUAAUUCGAUGCAACGCGAAGAACCUUACCUGGGCUUGAACUGCAGGCGUAGUCGCUUGAAAGGGCGGCGAACUCCUCGGGAAGACCUGUAGAGGUGCUGCAUGGCUGUCGUCAGCUCGUGUCGUGAGAUGUUGGGUUAAGUCCCGCAACGAGCGCAACCCUUGCCAUUAGUUGUCAGCGAGUCAUGUCGGAUACUCUAAUGGGACUGCCGGUGACGAGCCGGAGGAAGGUGGGGAUGACGUCAAGUCAGCAUGGCCUUUAUGUCCAGGGCCACACACGUGCUACAAUGGACGGUACAGAGGGACGCAAGACCGCAAGGUGGAGCAAAUCCUCAAAACCGUUCUCAGUUCGGAUUGCAGGCUGCAAUUCGCCUGCAUGAAGCUGGAAUUGCUAGUAAUCGCAGAUCAGCUACGCUGCGGUGAAUACGUUCUCGGGCCUU
rnacentral:rRNA from 1 species